GAUGAACGCUGGCGGCGUGCCUAAUACAUGCAAGUCGAGCGAACGGACGAGAAGCUUGCUUUUCUGAUGUUAGCGGCGGACGGGUGAGUAACACGUGGAUAACCUACCUAUAAGACUGGGAUAACUUCGGGAAACCGGAGCUAAUACCGGAUAAUAUUUUGAACCGCAUGGUUCAAAAGUGAAAGACGGUCUUGCUGUCACUUAUAGAUGGAUCCGCGCUGCAUUAGCUAGUUGGUAAGGUAACGGCUUACCAAGGCAACGAUGCAUAGCCGACCUGAGAGGGUGAUCGGCCACACUGGAACUGAGACACGGUCCAGACUCCUACGGGAGGCAGCAGUAGGGAAUCUUCCGCAAUGGGCGAAAGCCUGACGGAGCAACGCCGCGUGAGUGAUGAAGGCCUUCGGAUCGUAAAACUCUGUUAUUAGGGAAGAACAUAUGUGUAAGUAACUGUGCACAUCUUGACGGUACCUAAUCAGAAAGCCACGGCUAACUACGUGCCAGCAGCCGCGGUAAUACGUAGGUGGCAAGCGUUAUCCGGAAUUAUUGGGCGUAAAGCGCGCGUAGGCGGUUUUUUAAGUCUGAUGUGAAAGCCCACGGCUCAACCGUGGAGGGUCAUUGGAAACUGGAAAACUUGAGUGCAGAAGAGGAAGGUGGAAUUCCAUGUGUAGCGGUGAAAUGCGCAGAGAUGUGGAGGAACACCAGUGGCGAAGGCGACUUUCUGGUCUGUAACUGACGCUGAUGUGCGAAAGCGUGGGGAUCAAACAGGAUUAGAUACCCUGGUAGUCCACGCCGUAAACGAUGAGUGCUAAGUGUUAGGGGGUUUCCGCCCCUUAGUGCUGCAGCUAACGCAUUAAGCACUCCGCCUGGGGAGUACGACCGCAAGGUUGAAACUCAAAGGAAUUGACGGGGGCCCGCACAAGCGGUGGAGCAUGUGGUUUAAUUCGAAGCAACGCGAAGAACCUUACCAAAUCUUGACAUCCUUUGACAACUCUAGAGAUAGAGCCUUCCCCUUCGGGGGACAAAGUGACAGGUGGUGCAUGGUUGUCGUCAGCUCGUGUCGUGAGAUGUUGGGUUAAGUCCCGCAACGAGCGCAACCCUUAAGCUUAGUUGCCAUCAUUAAGUUGGGCACUCUAAGUUGACUGCCGGUGACAAACCGGAGGAAGGUGGGGAUGACGUCAAAUCAUCAUGCCCCUUAUGAUUUGGGCUACACACGUGCUACAAUGGACAAUACAAAGGGCAGCGAAACCGCGAGGUCAAGCAAAUCCCAUAAAGUUGUUCUCAGUUCGGAUUGUAGUCUGCAACUCGACUACAUGAAGCUGGAAUCGCUAGUAAUCGUAGAUCAGCAUGCUACGGUGAAUACGUUCCCGGGUCU
rnacentral:rRNA from 1 species